GCUCGGAUGGUGGAAUUGGUAGACACGCACGUUUGAGGGGCGUGUGCCGAGAGGCGUGCUGGUUCGAGUCCAGUUCCGAGCACCA
rnacentral:tRNA from 1 species